UCUAAAACUCGAGAUAUGGGCUGAACACUGAAUAGUGUCUGGGCUGCAGGACAGAUUCCGACUUUUCUAUUGUUGUUACCAUUUGAACUUGAAAAUGGCACUUUAAAUCUUGGACUCUUCAUGAAAGUUUUAGGUCUAUGUCUUAGCUUUCCAUA
rfam:Populus trichocarpa scaffold_4_contig_189, whole genome shotgun sequence.